AUGUUGUGAUCAAACUGCAUUCAAGUUUAUCGAUCUGCAGCAACAAAUCAUCACCUAUCGGUUGAGUACUAUUUGUCAAAUUUCAAUAUGGUUUGUUCAUCAGUUUUGUGUUUAUUUUUGAAAUUUAUAAAAUGUGUAAAAUUUUAAGUUAAUUACUUGUGUCCUUUAUCUCUAAUUUUGCUGCAACUGUUUAAGUUAAACAACAUCUUUGUCAAUCACCAGUAGAAGUUAUUUGUUAAUUGAUUGAAAAGCAUAGUACAUGUAUUAGUAACUCAUUAUUAAAUGAUUAUUAGUGUU
rnacentral:sRNA from 1 species